rnacentral:rRNA from 1 species
CGGCGGACGGGUGAGUAACACGUGGAUAACCUACCUAUAAGACUGGGAUAACUUCGGGAAACCGGAGCUAAUACCGGAUAAUAUAUUGAACCGCAUGUUUCAAUAGUGAAAGACGGUUUUGCUGUCACUUAUANAUGGAUCCGCGCCGCAUUAGCUAGUUGGUAAGGUAACGGCUUACCAAGGCAACGAUGCGUAGCCGACCUGAGAGGGUGAUCGGCCACACUGGAACUGAGACACGGUCCAGACUCCUACGGGAGGCAGCAGCC